rnacentral:SRP_RNA from 1 species
GCUUCUUUGCAGGGGUUGUGGUGACGUCAGAACGCCGAGCUCUGAUUGGUUAUGAAUAAAGGAUGGUGGGUAGGCCUCGAGGCAGCUUGCUUUGAGGACCACCCACUUUCUUUCUAUCAUAGCCAAUCAGAGCUCGGCGUUCUGACGUCAUCACAGUCCCUU